UACGAAGGGAGCUAGCGUUGUUCGGAAUCACUGAGCGUAAAGCGCACGUAGGCGGAUUUGUCAGUCAGGGGUGAAAUCCCGGGGCUCAACCUCGGAACUGCCUUUGAUACAGCAAGUCUUGAGUUCGAGAGAGGUGGGUGGAAUUCCUAGUGUAGAGGUGAAAUUCGUAGAUAUUAGGAAGAACACCGGUGGCGAAGGCGGCCCACUGGCUCGAUACUGACGCUGAGGUGCGAAAGCGUGGGGAGCAAACAGG
rnacentral:rRNA from 1 species